rnacentral:rRNA from 1 species
CCUACGGGUGGCAGCAGUGGGGAAUAUUGCACAAUGGGGGGAACCCUGAUGCAGCGACGCCGCGUGAGUGAAGAAGUAUUUCGGUACGUAAAGCUCUAUCAGCAGGGAAGAAAAUGACGGUACCUGACUAAGAAGCCCCGGCUAACUACGGGCCAGCAGCCGCGGUAAUACGUAGGGGGAAAGCGCUAUCCGGAUUUACUGGGUGUAAAGGGAGCGUAGGCGGUAGAGCAAGUCUGAAGUGAAAGCCCGCGGCUCAACUGGGGGGCGGCUUUGGAAACUGCCCGGCUAGAGUGCUGGAGAGGUGAGCGGAAUUCCAGGUGUAGCGGUGAAAUGCGUAGAUAUUAGGAGGAACACCAGUGGCGAAGGCGGCUUUCUGGACAGUAACUGACGUUGAGGCUCGAAAGCGUGGGGAGCAAACAGGAUUAGAUACCCUGGUAGUC